rnacentral:rRNA from 1 species
AUGAUCUCUAGGAGGAUAUACAUGGAAAAAGAGUACAUGAGUAAAAGGUCUGUAUCUGGCAACUAUGUAUGACUGUAAACAAGAUUGCUACUGGCUCCCAGCAAGGGGUUCGCGCAGUGACGGCCUUUUAUGUGUGCUCAUGAGCACAUGACUUAGUGCCUCGCGAGGACACAUGCAACUCCCAGUAGCUCGUGAGCUGAGGCCUCUGGCCCUCACAGGUGCUGUUUGUCCGUGUAAGGGGUUCGCGGCGAAUCCUUACAGAUUGUUACUAGUGAGCUAUUUUUGGUAAGCAGAACUGGUAAUGCAGGAUGAACUGAAUAUAAGAUUAAGAUGCUGGAAUACAUACUCAUCAGACACCACAAAAAAUAUUAGUUCAUCUAGAUAGCUUAAUGGUGGCCAUGAAAGUCAGAAUCUGCUAAGAAGUGUGUAACAACUCAUAAGCUGAAUAAACUAGUCCUGAAAAUGAAUGGUGCUCAAGUGUACUAUUUAUAUCUCAUCAUUGGGAUAGAAACAAAGCUCUGAUAAGUAGGCAGGUGUGGAGAUUUGUAAUAAAGUCUUGAAAGUAAUCCUGGGUUGAACAGUCUCUAGUGCAGAUCUUGAUGAUAGUAGCAAAUACUUAAAUAAGAACUUUGAGAACUAAAGUGGGGAAAGAUUUCAUAUGAACAGCAGUUGAAUAUAGAUUAGUUAAUUCUAAGAUAUAGAGUAGUUCUGUUUGAAAGCACACUCUAGUAUGCUGUUUGUUAAAAGGAAAGCUGGUUAAUAUUCUGGCAUCUGAAUAUGGAUUCUCUACAGCAAUGUAACUGAAUGUGAAAAUGUUAGCAGAAGUUCUGGAAAGAGUUCUUUUUUCUUCUUAAUAAUCUAUCAUCCUGAAAUUAGUUUGUCUGAAGCUAGAGUUUCAUGACUGAUAGAGCUCUGCAUCUUUACAAAGUCUGGUGCACUUCUGAUAACUCUUGAAAAUCUGCAGAAAGAAAUAGUUUUCACACCAGAUCAUACUCAUAACUGCAGCAGGUCUCCAAGAUGAAAAGCCUCUAGUUAAUAGAACAAUGUAGAUAAGAAAAGUCAGUAAAAUAAAUCUGUAACUUUGAGAAAAGAAUUGGCUCUAAGAGUUGGGCACAUUAAGUCUUGAGAGAAAGCCUCUGGAGCAGAAGAGCACUAGUCAGAAAACUGGUGAACAUCUUCCAGCAUUGGAAUACAUAUUCUCUUAACAGGCUUUGGCUGUCUGGUGCAUGAUUAAUGACCAACUUAGAACUGGUACAGACAAGAGAAAUCUGACUAUCUAAUUAAAAUAUAGUAUUGUGAUGGUCAGAAAGUGGUGUUGAUGCAAUGUGAUUUCUGUCCAGUGCUCUGAAUAUCAAAGUGAAGAAAUUUAAUCAAGCACAGAUAAAUGGCAGAAGUAACUAUGACUCUCUUAAGAUAGCUAAAUACCUUGUCAUCUAAUUAGUGACACACAUAAAUGAAUUAAUGAGAUUCCCACUGUCUCUAUCUACUAUCUAGUGAAACUACAGCAAGGGAACAGGCUUGACAAAAUCAGUAAGAAAAGAAGACUCUGUUGAGCUUGACUCUAGUUUGACAUUGUGAAAAGACAUAUUGGGUGUAGAAUAGAUGAGAGCUUUGGCACUGGUGAAAUAUCACUAUCUUUAUUAUUUUUUUACUUAUUCAAUAAAGCAGAACUGGGCUUUACUACCCAACUUCUAAUAUUAAGAUUCUUUGUGGGCUGAUCUAAAUUGAAGACAUUGUCAGGUGAAAAGUUUGACUGGGGCAGCACAUCUGUUAAAUUAUAAUACAGGUGUCCUAAGAGAGACUUAUAGAGAACAGAAAUCUCCAGUAGAAUAAAAGAGUAAAAGUUCUCUUGAUUUUGAUUUUCAGUGUGAAUACAAAUCAUGAAAGUGUAGCCUAUUAAUUCUUUAGUCCCUUGAAAUUUGAGGCUAGAGAUGCCAGAAAAGUUACCACAGAGAUAACUAGCUUGUGGCAGCUAAGUAUUCAUAGUGAUGUUGCUUUUUGAUUCUUCAAUGUUGGCUCUUCCUAUUAUACUGAAGCAGAAUUCAGUAAGUGUUGGAUUGUUCACUCACUAAUAGAGAAUAUAAGCUAGGUUUAGACUGUUGUAAGACAGGUUAGUUUUAUCCUACUGAUGAAGAUCACCACAAUGGUAAUUCAAUUUAGUAUGAGAGGAACCAUUGAUUCAGAUAAUUAGUUUUUGCAGUUGUCUGAUCAGACAGUGCUGUGAAGCUAUCAUCUGCUGGAUUAUGGCUGAAUGCCUCUAAGUCAGAAUCUGUACUGGAAUGCAGCAAUGUUGCUCUGCAUAUUGUAGUUGAAUAUGAAUAAAUCUACAGACUCUAAACCUCAGCAGAUCAGCAACAGCUUCUGGAAAGAGACUCUCAAAUGCCAGCUGAUGGAU